rnacentral:rRNA from 1 species
AAUGAACGUUGGCGGCGUGGAUUAGGCAUGCAAGUCGAGCGUACCCAGCAAUGGGGAAGCGGCAAACGGGGUAGUAAUGCGUCGGUACGUGCCCUGGGGACGGGGAUAGUCACGGGAAACUGUGGGUAAUACCCGAUGAUCUCGAGAGAGCAAAGGUGUGAUUCCGCCCUUGGAGCGGCCGACGUAGCAUUAGGUAGUUGGCGGGGUAAUGGCCCACCAAGCCUGGGAUGCCUAGGGGGUGUGAGAGCAUGGCCCCCACCAUUGGGACUGAGACACUGCCCAGACACCUACGGGUGGCUGCAGUCGAGGAUCUUCGGCAAUGGGCGCAAGCCUGACCGAGCGACGCCGCGUGCGGGAUGAAGGCCUUCGGGUUGUAAACCGCUGUCAGAGGGGAUGAAAUCACGGUGGGUUCUCCCGCCGUGUUGACAGAGCCUCAGAGGAAGCGCGGGCUAAGUUCGUGCCAGCAGCCGCCGUAAAAC